ACUAAGCGUACACGGUGGAUGCCCUGGCAGUCAGAGGCGAUGAAGGACGUGCUAAUCUGCGAUAAGCGUCGGUAAGGUGAUAUGAACCGUUAUAACCGGCGAUUUCCGAAUGGGGAAACCCAGUGUGAUUUGUCACACUAUCAUUAACUGAAUCCAUAGGUUAAUGAGGCGAACCGGGGGAACUGAAACAUCUAAGUACCCCGAGGAAAAGAAAUCAACCGAGAUUCCCCCAGUAGCGGCGAGCGAACGGGGAGCAGCCCAGAGCCUGAAUCAGUGUGUGUGUUAGUGGAAGCGUCUGGAAAGGCGUGCGAUACAGGGUGACAGCCCCGUACACAAAAAUGCACAUGCUGUGAGCUCGAUGAGUAGGGCGGGACACGUGGUAUCCUGUCUGAAUAUGGGGGGACCAUCCUCCAAGGCUAAAUACUCCUGACUGACCGAUAGUGAACCAGUACCGUGAGGGAAAGGCGAAAAGAACCCCGGCGAGGGGAGUGAAAAAGAACCUGAAACCGUGUACGUACAAGCAGUGGGAGCACGCUUAGGCGUGUGACUGCGUACCUUUUGUAUAAUGGGUCAGCGACUUAUAUUCUGUAGCAAGGUUAACCGAAUAGGGGAGCCGAAGGGAAACCGAGUCUUAACUGGGCGUUAAGUUGCAGGGUAUAGACCCGAAACCCGGUGAUCUAGCCAUGGGCAGGUUGAAGGUUGGGUAACACUAACUGGAGGACCGAACCGACUAAUGUUGAAAAAUUAGCGGAUGACUUGUGGCUGGGGGUGAAAGGCCAAUCAAACCGGGAGAUAGCUGGUUCUCCCCGAAAGCUAUUUAGGUAGCGCCUCGUGAAUUCAUCUCCGGGGGUAGAGCACUGUUUCGGCAAGGGGGUCAUCCCGACUUACCAACCCGAUGCAAACUGCGAAUACCGGAGAAUGUUAUCACGGGAGACACACGGCGGGUGCUAACGUCCGUCGUGAAGAGGGAAACAACCCAGACCGCCAGCUAAGGUCCCAAAGUCAUGGUUAAGUGGGAAACGAUGUGGGAAGGCCCAGACAGCCAGGAUGUUGGCUUAGAAGCAGCCAUCAUUUAAAGAAAGCGUAAUAGCUCACUGGUCGAGUCGGCCUGCGCGGAAGAUGUAACGGGGCUAAACCAUGCACCGAAGCUGCGGCAGCGACGCUGAUGCGUUGUUGGGUAGGGGAGCGUUCUGUAAGCCUGCGAAGGUGUGCUGUGAGGCAUGCUGGAGGUAUCAGAAGUGCGAAUGCUGACAUAAGUAACGAUAAAGCGGGUGAAAAGCCCGCUCGCCGGAAGACCAAGGGUUCCUGUCCAACGUUAAUCGGGGCAGGGUGAGUCGACCCCUAAGGCGAGGCCGAAAGGCGUAGUCGAUGGGAAACAGGUUAAUAUUCCUGUACUUGGUGUUACUGCGAAGGGGGGACGGAGAAGGCUAUGUUGGCCGGGCGACGGUUGUCCCGGUUUAAGCGUGUAGGCUGGUUUUCCAGGCAAAUCCGGAAAAUCAAGGCUGAGGCGUGAUGACGAGGCACUACGGUGCUGAAGCAACAAAUGCCCUGCUUCCAGGAAAAGCCUCUAAGCAUCAGGUAACAUCAAAUCGUACCCCAAACCGACACAGGUGGUCAGGUAGAGAAUACCAAGGCGCUUGAGAGAACUCGGGUGAAGGAACUAGGCAAAAUGGUGCCGUAACUUCGGGAGAAGGCACGCUGAUAUGUAGGUGAAGCGACUUGCUCGUGGAGCUGAAAUCAGUCGAAGAUACCAGCUGGCUGCAACUGUUUAUUAAAAACACAGCACUGUGCAAACACGAAAGUGGACGUAUACGGUGUGACGCCUGCCCGGUGCCGGAAGGUUAAUUGAUGGGGUCAGCGCAAGCGAAGCUCUUGAUCGAAGCCCCGGUAAACGGCGGCCGUAACUAUAACGGUCCUAAGGUAGCGAAAUUCCUUGUCGGGUAAGUUCCGACCUGCACGAAUGGCGUAAUGAUGGCCAGGCUGUCUCCACCCGAGACUCAGUGAAAUUGAACUCGCUGUGAAGAUGCAGUGUACCCGCGGCAAGACGGAAAGACCCCGUGAACCUUUACUAUAGCUUGACACUGAACAUUGAGCCUUGAUGUGUAGGAUAGGUGGGAGGCUUUGAAGUGUGGACGCCAGUCUGCAUGGAGCCGACCUUGAAAUACCACCCUUUAAUGUUUGAUGUUCUAACGUGGACCCGUGAUCCGGGUUGCGGACAGUGUCUGGUGGGUAGUUUGACUGGGGCGGUCUCCUCCUAAAGAGUAACGGAGGAGCACGAAGGUUGGCUAAUCCUGGUCGGACAUCAGGAGGUUAGUGCAAUGGCAUAAGCCAGCUUGACUGCGAGCGUGACGGCGCGAGCAGGUGCGAAAGCAGGUCAUAGUGAUCCGGUGGUUCUGAAUGGAAGGGCCAUCGCUCAACGGAUAAAAGGUACUCCGGGGAUAACAGGCUGAUACCGCCCAAGAGUUCAUAUCGACGGCGGUGUUUGGCACCUCGAUGUCGGCUCAUCACAUCCUGGGGCUGAAGUAGGUCCCAAGGGUAUGGCUGUUCGCCAUUUAAAGUGGUACGCGAGCUGGGUUUAGAACGUCGUGAGACAGUUCGGUCCCUAUCUGCCGUGGGCGCUGGAGAACUGAGGGGGGCUGCUCCUAGUACGAGAGGACCGGAGUGGACGCAUCACUGGUGUUCGGGUUGUCAUGCCAAUGGCACUGCCCGGUAGCUAAAUGCGGAAGAGAUAAGUGCUGAAAGCAUCUAAGCACGAAACUUGCCCCGAGAUGAGUUCUCCCUGACUCCUUGAGAGUCCUGAAGGAACGUUGAAGACGACGACGUUGAUAGGCCGGGUGUGUAAGCGCAGCGAUGCGUUGAGCUAACCGGUACUAAUGAACCGUGAGGCUUAACC
rnacentral:rRNA from 1 species